UACGUAGGGUGCGAGCGUUGUCCGGAAUUAUUGGGCGUAAAGAGCUUGUAGGCGGUUUGUCGCGUCUGCUGUGAAAAUCCGGGGCUCAACCCCGGACUUGCAGUGGGUACGGGCAGACUAGAGUGUGGUAAGGGAGACUGGAAUUCCUGGUGUAGCGGUGGAAUGCGCAGAUAUCAGGAGGAACACCGAUGGCGAAGGCAGGUCUCUGGGCCACUACUGACGCUGAGAAGCGAAAGCAUGGGGAGCGAACAGG
rnacentral:rRNA from 1 species